rnacentral:rRNA from 1 species
AUUGAACGCUGGCGGCAUGCUUUACACAUGCAAGUCGAGCGGCAGCGCGGGGGCAACCCUGGCGGCGAGCGGCGAACGGGUGAGUAAUGCAUCGGAACGUAUCCUCGAGUGGGGGAUAACCCAGCGAAAGUUGGGCUAAUACCGCAUGAGCUCUGAGGAGGAAAGCGGGGGACCUGCGAGGGCCUCGCGCUGGAGGAGCGGCCGAUGUCCGAUUAGCUAGUUGGUGGGGUAAAGGCUUACCAAGGCGACGAUCGGUAGCUGGUCUGAGAGGAUGAUCAGCCACACUGGGACUGAGACACGGCCCAGACUCCUACGGGAGGCAGCAGUGGGGAAUUUUGGACAAUGGGGGCAACCCUGAUCCAGCCAUGCCGCGUGAGUGAAGAAGGCCUUCGGGUUGUAAAGCUCUUUCGGACGGAACGAAAUGGGCGGGACUAAUACUCCUGGCUGAUGACGGUACCGUAAGAAGAAGCACCGGCUAACUACGUG